GAUGAACGCUGGCGGCGUGCCUAAUACAUGCAAGUCGAGCGAACUGAUUAGAAGCUUGCUUCUAUGACGUUAGCGGCGGACGGGUGAGUAACGCGUGGGCAACCUGCCUGUAAGACUGGGAUAACUUCGGGAAACCGAAGCUAAUACCGGAUAGGAUCUUCUCCUUCAUGGGAGAUGAUUGAAAGAUGGUUUCGGCUAUCACUUACAGAUGGGCCCGCGGUGCAUUAGCUAGUUGGUGAGGUAACGGCUCACCAAGGCAACGAUGCAUAGCCGACCUGAGAGGGUGAUCGGCCACACUGGGACUGAGACACGGCCCAGACUCCUACGGGAGGCAGCAGUAGGGAAUCUUCCGCAAUGGACGAAAGUCUGACGGAGCAACGCCGCGUGAGUGAUGAAGGCUUUCGGGUCGUAAAACUCUGUUGUUAGGGAAGAACAAGUACAAGAGUAACUGCUUGUGCCUUGACGGUAUCUAACCAGAAAGCCACGGCUAACUACGUGCCAGCCGCCGCAGUAAAAC
rnacentral:rRNA from 1 species